rnacentral:rRNA from 1 species
ACCGCAUAAGCCCACGACCCGGCAUCGGGUAGAGGGAAAAGGAGCAAUCCGCUUUGAGAUGGCCUCGCGUCCGAUUAGCUAGUUGGUGAGGUAAUGGCCCACCAAGGCGACGAUCGGUAGCCGGACUGAGAGGUUGAACGGCCACAUUGGGACUGAGACACGGCCCAGACUCCUACGGGAGGCAGCAGUGGGGAAUAUUGCACAAUGGGGGAAACCCUGAUGCAGCGACGCCGCGUGGAGGAAGAAGGUCUUCGGAUUGUAAACUCCUGUUGUUGAGGAAGAUAAUGACGGUACUCAACAAGGAAGUGACGGCUAACUACGUGCCAGCAGCCGCGGUAAAACGUAGGUCACAAGCGUUGUCCGGAAUUACUGGGUGUAAAGGGAGCGCAGGCGGGAAGGCAAGUUGGAAGUGAAAUCCAUGGGCUCAACCCAUGAACUGCUUUCAAAACUGUUUUUCUUGAGUAGUGCAGAGGUAGGCGGAAUUCCCGGUGUAGCGGUGGAAUGCGUAGAUAUCGGGAGGAACACCAGUGGCGAAGGCGGCCUACUGGGCACCAACUGACGCUGAGGCUCGAAAGUGUGGGUAGCAAACAGGAUUAGAUACCCUGGUAGUCCACACUGUAAACGAUGAUUACUAGGUGUUGGAGGAUUGACCCCUUCAGUGCCGCAGUUAACACAAUAAGUAAUCCACCUGGGGAGUAC